GUUAACGUAGCUNAGCUAAAGCAUAACACUGAAGUUNUUAAGACAAACCCUAGAUAGGUUUCGUAAACA
rnacentral:tRNA from 1 species